AUAGCACUUAAACUAUUGAGAAUGGAGGAUCCCAGGACAACAUUUAAAAUGACAGCUAAUGUCUGUGGAAACCCUGGGCGUUUAGGAGUGGCCUAAAGCUAGAGUUCUCUUUGAUUACGGGCACCACUUUCAGAUAAAAACAUAGACCUGAAUGGCAUCAUCCAGUAUCCAAGGAAACCAUUUCUUACAGUACCCUGGAACAUAAUUCACCAUGGCCAGGAUGAAUCUGCUGUACACAGGAGUGAUCCUUCUAACCUGCCAUGUCCAUAGUUAUGUGAGAAUCUAGGAUGGAGCUGAAAGAACUGUAUCUUCCUGGAUCAUACCCAAAAGGUCUCUAAGUGCACUGAUGACAGGAAAAUCUUCAGUGGUUCCAGAGACAAGCUGCUGGAAAUCCUGCACAUUUAUUUUCUAGAAGGAAAUGAGCUGAUGAGGAAUAAUCCCUUCAGAGAUCCUCCCUUUAAAAAACCUUAAAGGACUCCAAAUUAAAGCAUAGCCAUUUCUGGGACCCUAAAGUGACUCAAAAAAAGGAAACAUCACUUACUUAAUGUUAGGUGAAUUUCAAAAGCCUUAAUAAGGGGAGAGCAAAGGUAGGGAGAAAGAUGGUGAAUAAAUUGUGAGAACCUACCAAGUAAAGAAAUAUCUUUUAAAUUCCACGCAUCAUGUUUUAUUUCACUUUGUAUUUCAAUUAAAAAAGGAAAAAUAUGCAUUUUAAAAAGAUAUAUUUUUUGCUAUUAAUAUUAGCACUUAAUGUCUGAGUACAGAUCCAUCAUUCAUUAGGUCUACAGUAGCCCACAGCCCUAAUUUAUAAAUUCAUAAUCACAAGUCAGAUCAACUCAAUUGCUCAAGGCUGUGUAUUUGCAAGUUAGAGUAUACACUGCAAAUUUCCUGUCUUUGGGCCGGUAUACUGAGCAAUGGUACUUUUUAAAAAGAAUUUGCUCAUAUCUUAGAUUUAACAGAGUUGAAAAUGUUUAACCAAUAUCACUCAUGUAAUAUAAAGUGUAAAUUUAAGCAGUGUUCUAGAAAAUUCAAGGCAAAGUAGUUUAAACCAUUUGGCUCUUCCUAGAGGUUCUGAUUUUUUUUUUUUAACCUGAAAAAGUAGGUAAUUACUCGAUAGCCUUAGCUCUAAAAUAUAUCUGACAGGUUAUUUUUAUUUGUUUGGUUUUCAGAAAUCAUAUCCAUGUUUUCUACUCUCUGUAGUCUUAGCAAAAUGAAUCAAAGCCACUCUGUAUCCAAAGGUAACACUAUGGUUGUCUUUUUUUUUUUUUUUUUUUUUUAACAUUGCAGGCUUUACCUCAAGUGCUAUGCAGUAAAUUUACAGGGAAAGAAAUAUUUUAUUAAAUUAUAACUGAGAGGAGCGGAUUUUUUUUUAUAUAGCAAACAAAAAAUUCCUUCAUGAAAGGUUAUAAAACCGAUAUUAUUUACCAGAGAGACCUUUCCUGUCUCCCAGGUAAACACUUACAGUGUGUAGACUUGUGUAAAUACAUAUUUAGGAGUGGCUAAAUAUGGCGAGGUAUUUUUAAAGCCAUAUUUACAAAGCUGAAUACAUAUAUUGGCAUUUUGGAAUGUGUAAGCUGGGCAUGCUGCUCUGCUGUCUAUUCAGAAUUCUAGCAGGACGCUGCUAGAUACACCUCAGAUAUGGGGACCGAAUUUCAAAACAUUCAUCUUUAAUCAGAAUUACUAAAGACAGGUCCUUAAAUCAUUUCAAAAGGGUGAAAAUUUUCAACUAAUGGAGUUCAAGACUUUCUCACCAGUUUGACUUGAGGAAAACUGUUUCAGAAAUGCAGGCGUCAUUCAUGGAAAUAAAAUUUCUUUUCUG
rnacentral:lncRNA from 1 species